GUGGACAAAUGCCAAGAAGCAGCUUGGCAGCUAAAUAACUUUAUUGUCUUUGUUUUGCUGCUCCUCUCCCUUUUCAUUAUCAUCACGGCCUCAUACCUUUUGUAAAGUGCAGCCUGCUAGCUCCUGUUUAGAUCUUUUCUGAAAUACACAAUGGUGAAAUAUUCUAGUAAUAAGGCAUUUUUCUCAUGUGAUUCUAGCUAUGGGUUUGAGAUACAGUAUAAUUAACCAUGCCUAUAAUAAUAGGUAUUUUUAGAGGGGUAUGUAGGAGUUUAGGUUUGCUGAACUUACUAUAUUAUUUUUACAGAUACAGAUGAAGCAGCUUCUCUCAGGAAAAUUAUUUCUGUGAGUGGUUUCUUCUCUUUUCACCAAAUAUCCAUUGGUAAAACCCUGGGUAAGCUUGCAAAACUUGAACAUCCAAGUAACAUCUUCCUUGCACGACUCCUCUGGCAGAGGCCUUUUCCUUGUGCUGGAGCAGAAGAGCCAGGGAGGAUGACAAAACUGCUUUCCAAUUUCACCCUGUGCCAUGCUGGGUUUUACCCCAGAAAUGUGCAUAAGAGUAAUCUCACGAGUGGAGAGUUAAUCAUAUCUGCUCUCUGUGAACUCCUGGAAUUUCAGUCUGCAAGCUCGAUCCAAGAUGAUGUUUGUCCUCUGAGGAUGCCAAAGGGUGAAGGGUUCUAUUAAUUCAGAUGUUAUUUUAUCUACAUGUCUACCACAGAUCUGCUCUCUGUGAGGAUGUGCGUUUCUGAGGGUGCCUCGCUUCAUCUCUUUGUACUUCCCUUGGGUAAAUGCCAGUGUCUGUGGUGACUCUAUGAAACAGGAUAUAACUGUGAAAAUUAAAAAUUAUAGCUGCAGUAAAGACUCAUUUUUUGAAAGGCAGAAGUAUGGUGGUCUCCUGUAUUCAUCUGGAGCAACUGUUCAAGAGCUGUGUGACACCUGCUGCUGCCGUUAGUUGUUUUAUUUCAUAAUAUGCUUGGAAAAUGUCAGUAAUCUCUUACUGGGCUGCCAGCACAAGUCAUGGUAAGUGCAGCAUCCUGCCAAGUUGUGAUCAUCCAGUUGGGAUGCAGAGUCUGUUGCUGGUGUGUGAAUGGACAACAGUAAGUUUAAGCAAGUCUCUAAGAAAAUUAAUUAUGCUCUUUGGCAUGUAUGGUACUUAGUAGAUUAUUUCAUUACUGUGUCAUGCUUCGAAAUGACAUUGCUGUUUUAACCUCCUACAGAAAAUCAAAUUGUUCCUGUUGAAACUUAUUCAGAGUUGAUUGAAUUUGUCUGUCAGAGGCACUGUAGAGCCAUGUGACAGCAUCCCUCCUGGGCUGGGCUCCAUGGGAGAGAGGAAGGAAAAAGAAAUACAUGGGAAAAAUAACAACCUGCAUGUUCUGCUACUCCAACCUACGAUGACAACUUGAAUGUGUAUUUAGACUGUAAUAGAUUUCUGAUCUGAGGCUUAGUUUGUAAGAGAAAAGAAAAAAAUGGAGUUAGUACUUGCAACGUAGAACAACUGAGUUUUCCUUGUCAUUCUCUGACUAUAAAGUAUAUCUACUUUAAAACAAAUCCACAUAAUGAUUUGCAUUACAGCCUACUUGGUUGUACAAGUGCCAAUAAAAUGCUUGUCCAUGAGUGAUAGGAAAAUGCU
rnacentral:lncRNA from 1 species